rnacentral:rRNA from 2 species
CUACGCUGCGAUAAGCCGUGGGGAGCUGCGAAGAAGCUUUGAUCCACGGAUUUCCGAAUGGGGAAACCCACCUUCGAUAGCCGGAACUCCAAGACCUUGUGUUUUGGGGUUCGACCAGAAAUGGAAGAAAUCAGACCGCGAGGUUUUGGAUUUCCGGUUAUCAAGAGAAGGUAUAAGACUUCCGAAUAAAAUAGGAGGUUUUAAGCAAACCCAGGGAACUGAAACAUCUAAGUACCUGGAGGAAAGGACAUCAAUCGAGACUCCGUUAGUAGUGGCGAGCGAACGCGGACCAGGCCAGUGAUACAUCAAAGACAAUCGGAACCUGUCAGGAAAGCAGGGCCUCAGAGGGUGAUAGCCCCGUACGAGUAAUGCGAUGAUGUAUCCACGAGUAAGGCGGGACACGUGUAAUCCUGUCUGAACACGGGGGGACCACCCUCCAAGCCUAAGUACUCCUCAGCGACCGAUAGU